rnacentral:snRNA from 1 species
GUUUUGGGUCGAAUCCCGUAAU